rnacentral:rRNA from 2 species
CCUGAAGGGCCGUCGAAGACUACGACGUUGAUAGGUUGGGUGUGUAAGCGCUGUGAGGCGUUGAGCUAACCAAUACUAAUUGCCCGUGAGGCUUGACCAUAUAACACCCAAGCAAUU